GGUCCUUCUGAAAUAUCCUCAAAGCUCCAGAUCCAGUCUGGUCUUGGAAUCCAAUCUGGGUCAGUCCUGGUUAGUACUUGAAUGGGAAACCACCAGUGAAUGCUAGGUGGAAGGAACU
rnacentral:rRNA from 1 species